UACAGAGGGUGCGAGCGUUAAUCGGAAUUACUGGGCGUAAAGCGCGCGUAGGCGGCUUUGCAAGUCGGGUGUGAAAUCCCCGGGCUCAACCUGGGAAUUGCAUUUGUGACUGCACGGCUAGAGUGUGUCAGAGGGGGGUAGAAUUCCACGUGUAGCAGUGAAAUGCGUAGAGAUCGGGAGGAAUACCGGUGGCGAAAGCGACUCUCUGGACGGCAACUGACGCUGAGGCACGAAAGCGUGGGGAGCAACAGG
rnacentral:rRNA from 1 species